rnacentral:lncRNA from 1 species
CUUUUUUCCUCUGCUCUCUUCCCCUUGAGGGUUAAGUCAUUUCCUCAAGGAUUGUCAGGAAGAUACUUCCUUCCCUUUACAGCUGAACCCUCUAUCAAGGGGAGCCUUGUUCUGGAAGUGUUGCUACAAACUUACCCAGUUAGCACUUUACAUUCCUUCCCAACCUACCCAGACCUAGUUCUAUUUCAAAGACCUCAUGGAAACAAUCUGAUAAUAAAACCAUCUCUCCUUGCAGAAAGAUCAGCAUGGGGCUUCUGCACAGCAGUGGACAAAAAAUCAGCACGAGAUACAGCAUUUUACAAUUUUCAACGAUUUUUUUUGCCAAGUGGGAACAUUGGCAAAGACACACAUUGGUUAGACUGCACUGACAGCAAGCAAGAGCUGUUGACCAAGUGGAUAAACUCAAUCUAUCCAUCAGACACGAGAAAGAUCUUCCAAAUUUCAGGUAGCCAGUCACCAAGAACCCACUUCCUUCCCUUCAAAACUGCUCUACAAGCCAUUUUUCUUAUGGAGGUCCUGACCUGAGAAGCUCAACCUGGAUAACCACAGCCAGAGGGGGAUAAAAUGCAACACCUAGGAGAUUUCAGUAAACAGUAAAACCAUUCCAACUUAAUCUGUGUUAAAAUGCUAGGAAUGUGAGAGCCACCGAUGAUGCCCCUUGUCUGUGUGUCUGACUGAAUCCUUUAUUUUCUGGGAGGAAAGCAGAGCCUGGGAACUAGGCCAGAUGCCUGCCACUUACCUUAAAUUGAUCAGCCACUUUAAGAUUAAAAACACUGAAAACUGCAACUCCAUGAAAACAAGGCUUCCUUCACAUUAAAUGCAAAAUGCAACAUUGGGCUUGCUGUGAUCUCUUUUUCCAUUUUGCUCAGUGUGCAGUUUUUCCAUUUCUGCUCAAAGGUAAGAGCCAAAAGCAUCUUGGCCAAGUAUUCAUUAAAGUUUAUAUAAAAAGAAAUUUAUGGUUAUUUAGGAGUUGGCAUAAAAGCAUGUUGUUGCUGGAGAAGAAAUAUAGUUUUGAAACAGUUUGAAACACUGCAUGUCUUAUUUGAAGUAAAAGCUAUGUUCUAUCUUUGCCUGUUGUAUUUAAAGAAGCAUUGAAGUAUGUGAUUGGGAGAAUCAGCAGGUAAAUUUCUCAGUGGUUUUAUGUACUGUAAAUAUUUAGUCAAUUCAAGAAUUUACUUUGUUCUGCAAGAAUUAUUUCAUUGCUGCAAUAAAGAUAAGUAUAGAGAUAAAAUAAUGGAACA